rnacentral:rRNA from 1 species
AUUGAACGCUGGCGGCAUGCCUUACACAUGCAAGUCGAACGGUAACAGGUCUUCGGAUGCUGACGAGUGACGAACGGGUGAGUAAUACAUCGGAACGUGCCCAGACGUGGGGGAUAACGAGGCGAAAGCUUUGCUAAUACCGCAUACGAUCUAAGGAUGAAAGCAGGGGACCGCAAGGCCUUGCGCGUUUGGAGCGGCCGAUGGCAGAUUAGGUAGUUGGUGGGAUAAAAGCUUACCAAGCCGACGAUCUGUAGCUGGUCUGAGAGGACGACCAGCCACACUGGGACUGAGACACGGCCCAGACUCCUACGGGAGGCAGCAGUGGGGAAUUUUGGACAAUGGGCGAAAGCCUGAUCCAGCAAUGCCGCGUGCAGGAUGAAGGCCUUCGGGUUGUAAACUGCUUUUGUACGGAACGAAAAGGCUCUGGCUAAUACCUGGGGCACAUGACGGUACCGUAAGAAUAAGCACCGGCUAACUACGUG